rnacentral:rRNA from 1 species
UACGAAGGGGGGCUAGCGUUGCUCGGAAUCACUGGGCGUAAAGGGUGCGUAGGCGGGUCUUUAAGUCAGGGGUGAAAUCCUGGAGCUCAACUCCAGAACUGCCUUCGAUACUGAGAGUCUCGAGUCCGAGAGAGGUGAGUGGAACUGCGAGUGUAGAGGUGAAAUUCGUAGAUAUUCGCAAGAACACCAGUGGCGGAAGGCGGCUCACUGGCUCGGUACUGACGCUGAGGUGCGAAAGCGUGGGGAGCGAACAGG